rnacentral:rRNA from 1 species
UACCAGCACCCCGAGUGGUCGGGGCGAUUAUUGGGCCUAAAGCAUCCGUAGCCGGUUCUUUAAGUCCUCCGUUAAAUCCACCUGCUUAACAGAUGGGCUGCGGAGGAUACUAUAGAGCUAGGAGGCGGGAGAGGCAAGCGGUACUCAGUGGGUAGGGGUAAAAUCCGUUGAUCCAUUGAAGACCACCAGUGGCGAAGGCGGCUUGCCAGAACGCGCUCGACGGUGAGGGAUGAAAGCUGGGGGAGCAAACCGG